rnacentral:rRNA from 1 species
UCCCAAACCCCUGUGAACAUACCUUUAAUGUUGCCUCGGCGGUGCCCGUCCCUCCCCCGUGAAAACGGGGAAGAGCGGCCCGCCAGAGGAUCCACAAACUCUAUUGUUUCCGCAGUAUCUUCUGAGUAAAAACAAGUAAAUAAUCAAAACUUUCAACAACGGAUCUCUUGGUUCUGGCAUCGAUGAAGAACGCAGCGAAAUGCGAUAAGUAAUGUGAAUUGCAGAAUUCAGUGAAUCAUCGAAUCUUUGAACGCACAUUGCGCCCGCCAGUACUCUGGCGGGCAUGCCUGUUCGAGCGUCAUUUCAACCCUCAAGCCCCAGCGGUUUGGUGUUGGGCGUCGGCCGUCCCUCUGCGGCGGCCGUGCCCCAAAUUCAGUGGCGGUCUCGCUGUUGCCUCCUCUGCGUAGUAGUUUACACCUCGCACCGGAACGACGCGAAGACCACGCCGUUCAACAACCCAAUUUUCUGAAUGUUGACCUCGGAUCAGGUAGGAAUACCCGCUGAACUUAAGCAUAUCAAUAAGCGGAGGAAAAGAAACCAACAGGGAUUGCCCUAGUAACGGCGAGUGAAGCGGCAACAGCUCAAAUUUGAAAUCUGGCUCUCGGGCCCGAGUUGUAAUUUGUAGAGGAUGCUUUUGGUGAGGUGCCUUCCGAGUUCCCUGGAACGGGACGCCAUAGAGGGUGAGAGCCCCGUCUGGUUGGACACCGAGCCUCUGUAAAGCUCCUUCGACGAGUCGAGUAGUUUGGGAAUGCUGCUCUAAAUGGGAGGUAUAUGUCUUCUAAAGCUAAAUAUUGGCCAGAGACCGAUAGCGCACAAGUAGAGUGAUCGAAAGAUGAAAAGCACUUUGAAAAGAGAGUUAAAAAGCACGUGAAAUUGUUGAAAGGGAAGCGCUUGUGACCAGACUUGGGCUUGGUUAAUCAUCCGGCGUUCUCGCCGGUGCACUUUUCCAGUCCAGGCCAGCAUCAGUUUGCCUUGGGGGAUAAAAGCUUCGGGAAUGUGGCUCCUCCGGGAGUGUUAUAGCCCGUUGCACAAUACCCUGGGGCGGACUGAGGUUCG